ACCCAGCUGACGAGUCCCAAAUAGAACGAAACACGCGUCCUACAU
rnacentral:hammerhead_ribozyme from 1 species